rnacentral:rRNA from 1 species
GAUGAACGCUGGCGGCGUGCUUAACACAUGCAAGUCGAACGGAAAGGCCAGUGCUUGCACUGGUACUCGAGUGGCGAACGGGUGAGUAACACGUGGGUGAUCUGCCCUGUACUUCGGGAUAAGCUUGGGAAACUGGGUCUAAUACCGGAUAGGACAACUUUUUGGAUAUUGUUGUGGAAAGCUUUUGCGGUAUGGGAUGAGCUCGCGGCCUAUCAGCUUGUUGGUGGGGUAAUGGCCUACCAAGGCGUCGACGGGUAGCCGGCCUAAGAGGGUGUACGGCCACAUUGGGACUGAGAUACGGCCCAGACUCCUACGGGAGGCAGCAGUGGGGAAUAUUGCACAAUGGGCGCAAGCCUGAUGCAGCGACGCCGCGUGGGGGAUGAAGGCCUUCGGGUUGUAAACUCCUUUCGCUAGGGACGAAGCUUUUUUGUGACGGUACCUGGAGAAGAAGCACCGGCUAACUACGUG